AUGGGGUGUUCCUUGGGCACACAGGACACACUGGACCCUGGACUGGUCCCCUGGGGAAAUGUGCAGAGUGUGAUGGUAGUUCCCAGUGUCCAGGCUGCCAUUUCCUUGAGCAACCCAGGCUCCAAGGGACAGGUACCAGGUGAUCUGCAGCCAUUGCAGGCACCCAUGUCAGUGCCCUCCAUCUCCUCCACCCCGAGCUCCAGGCUGCCAGCCUCGCCCUGCAUCUCUUCCUCUGACUCUGGGGCUGCUGCCCACCGACCCCCUCUUCCAGAAAAGAGCCCCCCGACGAGUGGUGCCCCAGCUACGGCUGCCCAAGCCACCGGCCCUGUCAGCCCUGUACACCUACCUGCGCAGCCGCAAGAUCCAGGUGCUGGAGCUGUUUGCCAAGGGCCUGGGCACACAGCAGAGAGUCCCCCGGGAGGAGUUCCUCACUGCGCUGAGGAUGGUUGGGGUCCCCCUGAAGGAGCAGGAGAUGGAGGACGUGGUGAUCUACCUGAGCUCCCUCGGGAAGCACCGCGACAUCACCAUGGAGACCCUGGCCAGUACCUACAAGCAGUGGUCUCUGGCCCAGCUGAGGAGCACGACGGUGCCCACGCUGCACAAGUGCUUUGGCCCGGCCCAGGUCACGACAACCCCGCAGCCCUGCAGGAAGCACCUGCUCAUGGUGCCCGAGGUCCCUGUGCCUACGGAGGCGCGGCCCCUGACGCUGGAGGAGAUGGAGGAUGUGGGCAAGCACUACCGCGAGCGCAGGCGGCAGCAGAAGGUGCUGGGCAGGCCUACAGGAGGGGCUGCAUCCGUGUCACAAAGACGCCCAGCCCCACAAGGGUCUGGGACAUGGAAAUGGACUGGACUCAGAAAGUGCUGAAAGACCCCCCACAUUCUUUAAUUAGAACUUUUCUUUUUUUUGGUACUGGGGAUCAAACUCUGAUCCUUGAGCUUGUGAGGCAGGUGGCGGAACCACUGAGCUAAAUUCCCAGACUUUUUCUUUUCUUUCUUUUUUUUGUUUUUGUUUUUUUCUUUUUGCUUUUUGAGACAGGGUGUCAUUAUGCAGUUAGUUCAGGCUGGCCUUGGAUUUACUAUGUGGCCCAAGCUGACUCAAACUUAAGGCAAUCCUCCUGCUUCAGCCUCCCCAGUGCUGGGAUGACGGACAUGCACCACCUUGUCUAGGUGCCGCUCUUUAAUUAGGACUUUUCAUCUUGAGACCAGGGUUGUACCUUUGUCAUAGCUUGAGCCUGGCACCUGGCUCCAGAGUGCACAGACUGCAGACAGUUGGGCUGGCUCAGUGGCACGCAUAAGGCCCCGGUUUGCCCUGCACUGUGCUGCACCACACAAAACAAAACAAAACAUCAGGUUUUUGUUUGUUUGUUUGGGUUUUUUUGGUGCCGGCCACUGAACCGCUGAGCUAAAUCCCCAGCCAAAACAACAGGUUUUGCAGGCCACCUGGUCUCUGUCACAGGUGCUGGGCUCUGCUGCCAGGGACCCCACAUACACACAGCUUCGAGCCCGUGGUCCCAUACGUCUUGACUUAGGAAAGUGCAUGCCAGGCUGGAUUUGACCUAUGGGGUAUACAUUGCUGAUUCUGUUGUGAGAAGUUUUAAAAUAGAUUUUUUUUUUCCUUGUUUAAAGAAAAAUCAUGCUGGUCAUUGUGGCCCAUGCCUGUAAUCUCAGCACUUCCGAGUCUGAGUCAGGUGGAUUGCUGUGAGCUGGAGGCCAGCCUGAAGUACGGAGCAAGACCAUACCUCAAAAAACCAAAAUAAAAUAAAACAGCCAGUUGUGGUACCAUGUAUCUGUGAUUCCAGCUACUUGAGAGGCUGAGGCAGGAGGAUCUUAGUGAUUGUCUGAAAUGCAAAAACAGAAAAGCCUAGGGUAUAGCUCUGUGGGAGAGAGCCUGGGAUUCCAUCCCCAGCACCACAAAAAAGGGGAAGAAGGAGGGGAGGCAGCAAAGGCCCAGGAGACCUCAGCAGCCCCUGCCCGUGUCUCUUCAGCUCCCCAUCCCCUCCAUCCAGUACACAGAGAGCUGCCGCAUGGUGCGCAGUGGGGACCAGCGCGUGGACCAGCACUGCCUGCCAUCCACAGUGGUGGGUGAGAGCCGGGAGCUGCUGGAUGCAGCCCGCAUGGAUGGCUUCCUGCUCUACAUGCGCUGUGGGCAGCAGUGUGUGGCCCCAGGCCUGCCAGUGACCAAGGAUGUCCUCACCCGUGGUAAGGAGGUGGCGGGAGGUGAGGCUGCAGGAGCUGGCUUGAACACCAGGCCCUGGCUCUGUCUCUGAGAGGGAGAGCUGGUAGAAAUAACUGCCACCAAAACCACUGCUCCACCCUGGCAUGAAGGCGCACACCUCCUUCCCAGCACUCAAGAGGCUGAGGCAGGAGGACUGCCACAAGUUCUAGGCCAGUCUGGGAUACAUAGUGAGACUUAGUUUCAAAAAACAAACAAAAACUUAGAUCUAAUUAAGAUCUGGGUGCUGGGUGUGGUGGUGCAUGCCUGUAAUCCCAGCACUAGGCCGAGGCAGGAGGAUCGCUGUGAGUUUGUGAGUUCGAGACCAGCUUGGGCUACACAGUGAGUUCCAGAGCAGUCUGAACUACAUAGUGAGACUCUGGCUAAAAAAAAGAAAAAAAAAAUCUGGGUGUCCAUCUCAAUGGUAGAGUGUGCAUUGUGCAUUUAGCAACUCAUAAGACCCAGAGUUCCAUCCCUGGCACCAAAACACAAGGUCUUAUGCCCUGGUGAGGUCUUGGUUGGAUCCUCCCACCUCUUUCAGGGACAUCUGGCCACCUCCAUUCUGACUAAAGCCAUGCCUCGUCCUCCUCUGUCAUGGCCUGGUCCCCUUUCAUUUCCACUUAGCAGUGUCUCUCACAAUGGGGAGGGCUUCGAGAGAAUUCUCUGUACUGUUCCUGCUACUUCUGGUGACUUUACAGUCAUUUGAAAAUAGAAAGUUAAAACAAGGGUCAAUGGUAUAGCUCAGCGGUACUGCCCUGUCUGGCAAGCACAAAGCCCUGAGUUCAAUUCCUGGUACAAAAAAAAAAAAAAAAAAAAAAGUUAAAACCAAAAACCAAAAAAUGGAAAACAACAAUAACAACAAGAAACAAAUAAAAAUAAACGUUGCUAGCUGGGCGUGGUGGUGCACUCCUGUAAUCCCAGCACUUGGGAGAUUGAGGCAGGAGGAUUUCUACAAGUCUACUGCCAGCCUGGACUACGUAGCGAGAUCCUGUCUCAAAGGUAAAUAAAUAAAUAAUAAAAGCCAUAAAAUCUAAAAAAGAUUUUGAAUGUUAUCACAAAGAAAUGCUAAAUAUGUGAAGGACAGAAAUGUUAAUUUCCUUAAUUUGAUCAUUAUAUAAAAUGUAUGCAUGUAUUGAAACAUGGCUGGUGUAGUGGUGCACACCUGUGAUCCCAGCACUCAGAAGGCUGAGGAGGAGGAUCCCUAUAAAUCCCAGGCCAACAUGGGGCACAUAGCAAGAUCCUGUCUCAAGAAAGAGAAAGAGAAAAAAAGAAAAAGAAAACCAUACUGUACCCCAUAAAUCCAUAAAAAUACCAUGUGUCAAUUGAAAGCAAGUUAGGAAAAACUAAAAGGACAUCAUAUAGCUAUAAGAUGUGAAGAAAAAAUGUUUUUAACAAAAAUGUGAAUUUAGUAAUAAAACGGCCCCCACUGACCCCAAAGGUCCAGGACCAGGGUCUUGGGCUCACAAGUUCUGUGCUCUUGCCUCCCACAGCGCUGCUGUACCCGGGGGACAGGAUUGUCCUGCAGAACACCCAAGUGCGCCCCAUCCGGCAGCCCGGAGGCUUCUACUCUGACUGGAGGGCUCUGACCCCACAUCUGGCCACACACAGGACACAGGGCCUGAGGCUGGGUCCCCAGAAGAGUGACAAGCUGAGUGUCCUCCAUCCCUGUGCCUGCCUGCUGCUGUCUGCCCCCUGCUGUCCCCUCUGCUCCAGCCGGGACACUGGCUAUUCAGUGGCCCAUGUCUGCUUGCUGCUCUCACUGGUCACUUGGCCACCUGGGACGGCAGCGCCAGUGCCUCCCACUGUGGCGCCUGUCCUAGCUCGGGGCCACUCACCUCAGUGCCACUCAGCCGCCUUCCCGGCCCUGCUGUCCUGCACUGACCCAACUUGCCUUCCCCUAGCAAGGCGUACCUGUGGGACUGUCCCCGGCCCUGUCCCUGAUGCUAGCUUCAGUCUCCUCUGAGAAAGUGGCUGCGCAGCAGAUCCAAAGCCUGGGCCCCAGGCUUUGGGUCAAACUCCAGAUGACGAGGUGGGCAGCAAGGUGGUGGGAGCUGGCAGAGCAGCAAGAUGGCACCUGCACAGAGGGACUGGAAUGGAGCCGCGUGAUGUAGACAGGCGCCACUCAGGCACACCAGCCUCUCCGCUCCCCAGGCCUCAGCGAUGCUGUGGUAAACCACACUGGUGAAGCCUGAGGAGGUUCAUAGAACAGCCUUGUAGGACAAGGGACGAGUCAGCAAGAGGCCCAGGCAGUUAGAAAAUAAAGGGGAAGAGCUGGGUGUUACACAGCACUCGGGAGGCGAGGCAGGAGGAUUGCCGUGAGUUCCAGGCGAGCCUACAUAGUGAGACCCUGUCUCAGAAGAGCAAAACAGAGGCUGGGCAUGGUGGUGAAUGCCUGUAAUCCUAGCACUUGGGAGGCUGAGGUAGGAGGAUCACCACGAAUUCAAGACCAGUGUGGGAUACACAGAGUUCAAGGCCAGCCUGGACCACAAAGUGAGACCCUAUCUCAAAAAAACCGAAAAGACAAGACUAAGGUUAUUAAUGAGAGAAUCAGACAUAAAAUGCAGCCAGAGACACCAAGCUCCAUCCUGCUAGGUUUCUGUGACACUGGACACCACAGGGGCUGAAUGGAGGAUGCGUAUGUACUGGCUGGGGCCAGCAGGAAGCAUUAACCAGUAAAAGCAGAGUAGGUCCAGACAUGGUGGCUUGAGGGCCUCUGUCCCUUGGUGACCACCUCCCCGCCAUGCCACGGUUGCUGGCACAGGGUCCUGGGCAUGAGCUGGGAGGAGGGCCGGCCCCGAACAGGACUAGGUUCUGCUAAGGAGGACAGAGAGGCUGAGGCCCAGGAUGGACGGUGUGCUCUUGCUGUGUUGCCAAGGCCAACGGGCAGGGACACAGCUGGGCCUGCACUUGCCUAGCACAUGUGAGGCUCCAGCUCUACCCGAGAGCCACAGAAGAAAGCAAAGCCAAGCAUGUGAGGCCAGAUGUGGGCUCAGGCACGGGGCUGGCAGGGCCCUCACACUCUGCAGCUGCCUCUUGCUCCUGUCCAAGCUCCACCUGGGAGAAGAAACUCUGCUUCCAGGGCCCCACAGCCCAGCCUGCUCCCCUUCCCACUCCUAACUGCAUUCCUUUUGCUUCCCCAUCAGGAAGACACCCAAGGAUGGCAGGAAGGUGCCCUUUAAAGAAGCACAGAAGGGCACCAG
rnacentral:lncRNA from 1 species